rnacentral:misc_RNA from 1 species
UUGUGGAGGAGGACGCUGAAGUGGGGCUGAUGACUGGGGUGAAGUCGUAACAAGGUAGCCGUACCGGAAGGUGCGGCUGGAUCACCUCCUAACAGGGAGACAAACAUUGAUCAUGAUGUCUGAGUUAUUUAUUCUUAGGCGUUAAUCCUGUCACCUUAGGUCGAUCGGUACCUCAGAUUAAUUACUGAAAAAUGAGAAAUCUAUAUUUCAGAGUUAAUUUCAGUUCCUAAACUUGUCUAGGUCACACCCAACAAACUUUCUCCUGGGCUAUUAGCUCAGGCGGUUAGAGCGCACCCCUGAUAAGGGUGAGGUCCCUGGUUCAAGUCCAGGAUGGCCCAUUCGUAGUUGGGGGUAUAGCUCAGUUGGUAGAGCGCCUGCUUUGCAAGCAGGAUGUCAGCGGUUCGAGUCCGCUUACCUCCACUGAUCAUCUACCUGAUAACUCGUUUUGGAGAUUGUCUUUUGUUUAAUGUGAUUUAGAUGUUGUUCAUCUGAAUGAACCUAGCUUCCUAUCACUCCUUUCAUUUCUUUUAGGCUGAUAAGACGCUGGGCUCUCUGUUCUUCGAAAGAUUAACAGUUUGAUUCAGUAGAACCUUGACAACUGCAUAGGAAAAACUAGAAAACAAAGCAUCUCAUAGAUGCAUGGAAAUCUUUUAUUAGAUAUCUAUGUUUAAUUCUUGAGUUAGAGCAAAACUUCUAUUGCUUAUUCACUACUUUUAUAUGUAUGUGAUUAACUAAUUAUAUUAGUAAGUUAAUAGAUUUAAUGGUCAAGCUACAA